GAUGAACGCUGGCGGCGUGCCUAAUACAUGCCAGUCGAGCGAACAGACGAGGAGCUUGCUCCUCUGACGUUAGCGGCGGACGGGUGAGUAACACGUGGAUAACCUACCUAUAAGACUGGGAUAACUUCGGGAAACCGGAGCUAAUACCGGAUAAUAUAUUGAACCGCAUGGUUCAAUAGUGAAAGACGGUUUUGCUGUCACUUAUAGAUGGAUCCGCGCCGAAUUAGCUAGUUGGUAAGGUAACGGCUUACCAAGGCGACGAUGCGUAGCCGACCUGAGAGGGUGAUCGGCCACACUGGAACUGAGACACGGUCCAGACUCCUACGGGAGGCAGCAGUAGGGAAUCUUCCGCAAUGGGCGAAAGCCUGACGGAGCAACGCCGCGUGAGUGAUGAAGGUCUUCGGAUCGUAAAACUCUGUUAUUAGGGAAGAACAAAUGUGUAAGUAACUAUGCACGUCUUGACGGUACCUAAUCAGAAAGCCACGGCUAACUACGUG
rnacentral:rRNA from 1 species